ACAUUUGUCUUGCAGUUGUUUCGGCAUACUUAAAGGCACUAUAUCACACCACACUUCUCUAAAAAUAAAUAAUGCAUUUCCCUCAACAAUACUAACUAUCAGCCCACAGGGAAGCUAACAUACAAUUUGUUCAAAAAAUAAUUUAGAUUACAAGAUUAAAUUAAAAAGUAUGAAUGAAUUAAUGCAACAUUGCAUUAAAUCGAAGCACACGACUUCUACCGGUCGAACAUUAUUUCAAGCGAACUUCAUAGAGUUAUGUAGACAUACGACAGAAAUCUUAUAUCUGGUCAAAAUUUUGGUUUAAAGUAUAUGCCAAAAGGUAUAUAUUAAUGUCUUAUAAAUGCCUAAUGUUAGAACUACUACGUGUAGUAGGUAGGUAGUUCCGGGGAGGUAAGGGGUAGAAAUAUUGACGUGAGGCGCUCGUGUGCUGUAUUUCUAUAGUCCGUAUUAAAAUCCAUUACACUGUUUCUCACUGUUUCAACUGAUCGUGUAAGGUAUUUAUAAUCCACAGCAAGUGAGGCAUUUCUGUAGUCUUUAUCCAAGUCCAUUACACUGUCUCAAGGUUUCUGAAGCUGUGAUGCUAGAGGUAGAAACUAUACUGGGAAUACAACACAUGGAAACAGGUCACGUACACAGUUUACAUACAAACUGCAGAAGACAGAAUUGGGCACUGCCAGAAAGCAGUUGGAAGGGGAUUGUUGGUAGAUUUAGAUGGCGCUUCUUUCAGCAAACUCAGUUUACCUUUAAGGUUUUCUUUAAAUGAUAUGUAUCUAACCACCAAACGGUGAUACUUUUAACAUGCCCAAUGGAACAAAAAAUGGUCAGCAAACUGUCGGGAUACGUAUUGCCAAUUUUCAUUGUGCUCUGUAGAGAACCGAUGAAGACUAAGAACUGUAAUGAGCAAAAUAGAAUAUUACUUGUCUCUCCUUUGUGUUUGAAGUUAUUUUACUGUAAAUGGUACGUAUAGUCGAUACUGCUGGCUUACAUUCACAGGCAAAUCGAAAUCGAACGGCAAGUUUCAGAGUUAUAGGUGUUAGUGUCCAUGGCCCCGUUCCACAAAAUGAUCGUAGAGCUAAGAUGAUCGUAACUCCCAUACUUUAACAUAGACUUACGACCUUUCGAAAGUAGGUUUUUGUUCAGGACCUCCCUGGUAAGUUUGCUUUUGAAAAAUCGUCAAGAAGACUUGGGAAGUUUUUGAAGAGAACUUUGGCUCAUACGUAGCACUCAGCAUGGCGGGCAUCGAAGGCACGUUUAGGCACUGUGUGUGCAGAGUAGUUCCUGGACACAAAGUAUGGAAAUUGGGAAAGCUCUGGAGCUGAUAGUUCGAACUCAGCACAUUUUUGGUGCAAAGAACUCAGAAAACUGUUGAAAAAUAGGAAUAAAUAUUUCAACCCCAAACAGCUGCCAAACGAUGCCUUUUUUAGCCAAAUGGGUCCUCCACUUGAAAUUGAAGGAAAUCUUAAUCCGCCAUUGCUCCAGAAAUUGUGAAUCAUUGGACAUGAUUUUUCGGAAAUUAUUGCUUUUAAAAUUUAAAUGUUUGAAUUACUUUUGAAUAAUCUGCCCUUUGUUAUUGAAUAAAGAAGUUAUCAUCCAU
rnacentral:lncRNA from 1 species